rnacentral:rRNA from 1 species
UCGAGCGGGAUACUUCGGGUAGCAAUAUUCGGAGUGUUCAGCGGCGGAAGGGUGCGUAACACGUGGGUAAUUUGCCGCGAAGUUGGGGAUAACUCGUUGAAAGACGAGCUAAUACCGAAUGUGAUCCGUUGGAGGCAUCUCCGAUUGAUUGAAGCUGGGGACCGUAAGGCCUGGCGCUUCGCGAUAAGCCCGCGGCCUAUCAGCUAGUUGGUGAGGUAACGGCUCACCAAGGCUAAGACGGGUAGCUGGUCUGAGAGGACGACCAGUCACACUGGAACUGAGACACGGUCCAGACACCUACGGGUGGCAGCAGUCGAGAAUUUUUCUCAAUGGACGAAAGUCUGAAGGAGCGACGCCGCGUGGGGGAUGAAGGGCUUCGGUCCGUAAACCCCUGUCAUUUGCGAACAAACCUCAUCAUUGAACAUUUGAUGAGCUGAUUGUAGCGAAAGAGGAAGGGACGGCUAACUCUGUGCCAGCAGCCGCGGUAAUACAGAGGUCCCAAGCGUUGUUCGGAUUCACUGGGCGUAAAGGGUGCGUAGGCGGUGGGGUAAGUCUGGUGUGAAAGCUCGGAGCUCAACUCCGAAAUGUCAUCAGAAACUACUUCACUCGAGGUUUGGAGGGGGGACUGGAAUUCUCGGUGUAGCAGUGAAAUGCGUAGAUAUCGAGAGGAACACCAGUGGCGAAGGCGAGUCCCUGGACAAAUCCUGACGCUGAGGCACGAAAGCUAGGGGAGCAAACAGGAUUAGAUACCCUGAUAGUCCUAGCUGUAAACGGUGCACGUUUGCUGUGAGCGGAUUCGACCCCGUUCGUGGCGUAGCUAACGCGAUAAACGUGCCGCCUGGGGAGUACGGGUCGCAAGAUUAAACUCAAAGAAAUUGACGGGGGCCUGCACAAGCGGUGGAGUAUGUGCUAAUUCAAUGCAACGCGAAAACCUUACUUG